CGGCCGGGAACGAGAGACGGCGG
rnacentral:miRNA from 1 species